GUACUCGCUUCAGCAGCACAUAUACUAAAAUUGGAAUGAUACAGAGAUUAGCAUGGCUCCUGCACAAGGAUGACAAAAAAAUUCAUGAAGCAUUCAAUAUUUUU